ACGAGUGGCGAACGGGUGAGUAACACGUGAGCAACCUGCCCUUGACUUCGGAAUAACAGCUGGAAACAGCUGCUAAUACCGAAUACGACGCACUUCCUCCUGGUCGUGCGUGGAAAGCUCCGGCGGUCAAGGAUGGGCUCGCGGCCUAUCAGUUAGUUGGUGAGGUAACGGCUCACCAAGGCUUCGACGGGUAGCCGGCCUGAGAGGGCGACCGGCCACACUGGGACUGAGAUACGGCCCAG
rnacentral:rRNA from 1 species